GGGGUAGGGUUACUUCGGUAUCUGAGACCGGCGCACGGGUGCGUAACGCGUAUGCAAUCUACCUUUUACUAUGGGAUAGCCCAGAGAAAUUUGGAUUAAUACCAUAUAAUAUAUUUGAAUGGCAUCGUUUGAAUAUUAAAGAUUUAUCGGUAAAAGAUGAGCAUGCGUCCCAUUAGUUAGUUGGUGUGGCAACGGCAUACCAAGACGAUGAUGGGUAGGGGUCCUGAGAGGGAGAUCCCCCACACUGGUACUGAGACACGGACCAGACUCCUACGGGAGGCAGCAGUGAGGAAUAUUGGUCAAUGGAGGCAACUCUGAACCAGCCAUGCCGCGUGCAGGAUGACGGUCCUAUGGAUUGUAAACUGCUUUUGUACGGGAAGAAAACAAACUACGAGUAGUUAAUUGACGGUACCGUAAGAAUAAGGAUCGGCUAACUCCGUGCCAGCAGCCGCGGUAAUACGGAGGAUCCAAGCGUUAUCCGGAAUCAUUGGGUUUAAANGGGUCCGUAGGCGGCCUUAUAAGUCAGUGGUGAAAGUUUUUGGCUUAACCAAAAAAUUGCCAUUGAUACUGUAGGGCUUGAAUAUCUGUGAAGUAACUAGAAUAUGUAGUGUAGCGGUGAAAUGCUUAGAUAUUACAUGGAAUACCGAUUGCGAAGGCAGGUUACUAACAGAUGAUUGACGCUGAUGGACGAAAGCGUGGGUAGCGAACAGGAUUANAUACCCUGGUAGUCCACGCCGUAAACGAUGGAUACUAGCUGUUUGGUUUUCGGACUGAGUGGCUAAGCGAAAGUGAUAAGUAUCCCACCUGGGGAGUACGGUCGCAAGACUGAAACUCAAAGGAAUUGACGGGGGCCCGCACAAGCGGUGGAGCAUGUGGUUUAAUUCGAUGAUACGCGAGGAACCUUACCAGGGCUUAAAUGUAGAUUGACAGAUUUGGAAACAGAUUUUUCUUCGGACAAUUUACAAGGUGCUGCAUGGUUGUCGUCAGCUCGUGCCGUGGGGUGUCAGGUUAAGUCCUAUAACGAGCGCANCCCCUGUUGUUAGUUGCCAGCACGUAAUGGUGGGGAACUCUAGCAAGACUGCCAGUGUAAACUGUGANGAANGUGGGGAUGAUGUCNAAUCAUCACGGCCCUUACGUCCUGGGCCC
rnacentral:rRNA from 1 species